rnacentral:lncRNA from 1 species
UCAGCGGCCUGCAAGCCAAGGUCUGUCUAAAAAUUGAGAGGAGGGACGCAGAGAGUGAAAAUCGCAACAGAAGCGGGCCUACUCCGCUGGUAGACGGAGUGAGUUCACGGAAGAGCAUUUGCAUAUUCAGCCUCUCCUGAGGAGCUGAACACACAGGAAACACUGAGAAAUGUUGCUGCUU